rnacentral:rRNA from 1 species
UACGUAGGGACCGAGCGUUGUCCGGAUUCAUUGGGCGUAAAGAGCUCGUAGGCGGCUGCUCAAGUCGAAUGUGAAAACUUCGAGGCUCAACCUCGAGCCUGCAUUCGAUACUGGGCGGCUAGAGUCUGGUAGGGGGAUCCUGGAAUUCCUGGUGUAGCGGUGGAAUGCGCAGAGUAUCAGGAGGAACACCGGUGGCCGAAGGCGGGAUCCUGGGCCAGUACUGACGGCUGAGGAGCGAAAGCGUGGGGAGCGAACAGG